rnacentral:rRNA from 1 species
CCUACGGGAGGCUGCAGUGAGGAAUAUUGGUCAAUGGCCGGGAGGCUGAACCAGCCAAGUCGCGUGAGGGAAGACGGCCCUACGGGUUGUAAACCUCUUUUGUCAGGGAGCCAGGUGCAGGUCGGGACCUGCUGUGAGAGUACCUGAAGAAAAAGCAUCGGCUAACUCCGUGCCAGCAGCCGCGGUAAUACGGAGGAUGCGAGCGUUAUCCGGAUUUAUGGGGUUUAAAGGGUGCGCAGGCGGAGGCACAAGUCAGCGGUAAAAGCGCGGGGCUCAACCCCGCUCCGACGUUGAAACUGUGUCCACUGAGUGCGCGAAGGGUAGGCGGAAUGCGUGGUGGAGAGGGGAAAUGCAUAGAGAGCACGCAGAACUCCGAUCGCGAAGGAAGCCUACCGGCGCGCAACUGACGCUCAUGCACGAAAGCGUGGGUAUCGAACAGGAUUAGAUACCCGAGUAGUC